CACUACACUUGUCCAUCACAGGAACUGUUUCGAGGAAACUUCUCGCCAUGACCAACAAAAACAUCAUCUUCGCCUUGCGGUCAUCGUCAUGUUGGCUGUUACCGUUGCUGCAGAUGAUGAUGAUCAUGAACAUAGCCGUAAUCAGUACAACUGCCUAACCUUGCAGUCGGAGUACAAUAGACACUGCUCCCUAAAUCCAAUUUCAAUAUAUUGCCGGGAACUUUACCAGACCCUAGUUUGCCGAGGUUGUAUCGUUACGACACCAUUCCCCCAGGGCUAAAAUACAGCAGCAACUGAUUUACUCUGAUGUCGCCUAGCUUCGUUGCUGAUACAGCGGUUCAACACCUAAAUAUCAGUUAUCUUACCUUUUCAGACUAGAUAUUCUUCUAGGAAAAAAAAUCAUCUAGAUAAUAUAUCCAGGAUUACUGCUAUAACAAACAAGCAGAUGUAAAUUUAUCGAAUAUUAAAUUUUGUCUGAUCACAAA